rnacentral:snRNA from 1 species
AGCUUUGCUCAGUGGCGGUAUCGUAGCCAAUGAGGUUUAUCCGAGGCGCGAUUAUUGCUAAUUGGAAAAAAAAACACAUUAUAGCUUUAGCCUUGCUUUAGUCUUCUGUCCCUCCAGAUAAAGAUUCAGUAAGAUACCCAGUGAUAAAACUAUGCAAUUUUCCAAGAGCACUGAAA